rnacentral:rRNA from 1 species
AUUGAACGCUGGCGGAAGGCCUAACACAUGCAAGUAGAACGAGUGGCAGACGGGUGAGUAAUGUCUGGGAAACUGCAUGAUGGAGGGGGAUAACAAAUGGAAACGGUAGCUAAUACCGCAUAACAUCCGAUGUGCCCAGAGGGGAUUAGCUUGUUGGUGGGGUAACGGCUCACCAAGGCGACGAUCCCUAGCUGGUCUGAGAGGAUGACCAGCCACACUGGAACUGAUACACGGUCCAGACUCCGACGGGGUGCAGCAGUGGGGAAUAUUGCACAAUGGGCGCAAGCCUGAUGCAGCCAUGCCGCGUGUAUGAAGAAGGCCUUCGGGUUGUAAAGUACUUUCAGCGGGGAGGCGUUACCCGCAGAAGAAGCCCCGGCUAACUCCGUGCCAGCAGCCGCGGUAAUAC